rnacentral:rRNA from 1 species
UACGUAGGGGGCUAGCGUUAUCCGGAUUUACUGGGUGUAAAGGGAGCGUAGGCGGUGCAGCAAGUCAGAAGUGAAAGCCCGGGGCUCAACUCCGGGACUGCUUUUGAAACUGUUGAACUAGAUUGCAGGAGAGGUAAGUGGAAUUCCUAGUGUAGCGGUGAAAUGCGUAGAUAUUAGGAGGAACACCAGUGGCGAAGGCGGCUUACUGGACUGUAAAUGACGCUGAGGCUCGAAAGCGUGGGGAGCAAACAGG